CGUUACCAGCUGGGUGGUUCACAGGCACCCCAAACUCUCGGAGCCAGAGUCCGGCAGCUCCAAAAUGGAAAUCGCAUGAAAGCCAACCUCACAGAAUACUAUGUUGCUACGGAGAAAAUGUUUUAAAAGUAAAGCAAAUUAUAAAUGUAACAGGCAGUCAGACGUGCCCAGGGUGUUGAUCCUAUGUAUAGAUCCAACACACAGACAUUGAUGUUUUUGUUGUUGGGCCAGGAAGAAAAUGCUAAGUAUGAAUUUCCAGUUUUCUCCAGUCCCUUUCCUGUUGCUAAAUGAAGAUCAUUCCAUCAUUGUGUAUCAAAUGCAGCAUUUGUGAAAAUACCUCCCGAUCAUCUUUCACAGGAAUUCUUUCCAAGUGAGAAAGCCACCAUAAAAGAAGAAGGCCACCAUUGUAUUUAUGAACUAUGCCCUGAUAUAUUUCAGGAGGCUGGUGAACACUCAUUGUAACAUUUAAGACUUUGUACAAUUUAAUCACAUUCAGACUAGUCCUAGCCCACAGGCUGCUCACUUUGUCCUGGAGUGUCAUCGAAGAGAAGUGUGUGUCACUGACUCUGUCAAAGCAACCAAACUUUGGGGAAGACAUACCUCAGGAAAGGUUGCUGAGAACUUGAAAUUUCAGACCUUCAUUCAGAAUUCUCUUAGUUCGUCAUUAUCUUCGUGCUCUGCUACUAAUGAAAAAAGUGCAAAAUGAAGAACUUGAGAGAAAAGUGAAGCAUUCACUUAACUCUUUCAUAUUCAAAUAUUAACAAAUCUCUUUAAAAUAGAUCCCUAUGUAAUUCCACGAACAAUGUUAAUUUAGGAAAAUUACAUUUAAAACAGUGGACUACCUUUGGUUUAUUUUCUCUCUUUUACUAUGUUUGAUAAUAAUACUGUUUAUUGAUAUGUUUAGCUACAUACCUUUAUUUCUGCACAUUAUAUUUCAAUAUAUUUGGCCUUUUUGUUUGUAUGAAGUAUAUGCAUGUGUGUAAGGCACAGCUUCUGCAUGCCUUUACGUGAACAUUACUAAUAAUUCUUGUGAGCCAAUUCAUUCUACUAUGUGCUCUUCUCUCUAUUCCUCAGUUGCUAAAGUCAACCCAUGGGUUAGGCUUUAUUUUAAGUAGAUUCAUGCCUGUGUCUUUGGAAAUGCCAUAAAUUGUCAGCUCUCAUAGGCUUAGUGCACUAUAUGAAGAAUUUAAAAAUUCCUGGCUGGGCGCGGUGGCUCAUGCCUGUAAUCCCAGCACUUUGGAAGGCCGAGGGAGGCAGAUCACGAGGUCAGGAGAUCAAGACCAUCCUGGCUAAUACGGUGAAACCCCGUCUCUACUAAAAACAAUACAAAAGAAAAAUUAGCUGGGCAUGGUGGCAG
rnacentral:lncRNA from 10 species